GAAGAACGAGGGAGGCGUGCCUAAUACAUGCAAGUAGAACGCUGAAGAGAGGAGCUUGCUCUUCUUGGAUGAGUUGCGAACGGGUGAGUCACGCGUAGGUAACCUGCCUUGUAGCGGGGGAUAACUAUUGGAACCGAUAGCUAAUACCGCAUACCAAUGGCUGCCCAAUGUCAUUUCUUUGCACGGGGCCCUUGCUCCCCUCCCCGCUGGCCCUGCGUUGUCUUCGCUCGUCGGUGAGGUAACGGCUCACCUAGGCGACGCUACAUAGCCGACCUGAGAGGGUGAUCGGCCACACUGGGACUGAGACACGGCCCAGACUCCUACGGGAGGCAGCAGUAGGGAAGCGGCGGCAAGGGGGGCAACCCGGACCGAGCAACGCCGCGUGAGUGAAGAAGGUUUUCGGAUCGUAAAGCUCUGUUGUAAGUCAAGAACGAGGGGGAGAGGGGAAAGGGCACACGGUGACGGGAGCGGACCAGAAAGGGACGGCUAACUACGUG
rnacentral:rRNA from 1 species